rnacentral:rRNA from 1 species
GAUGAACGCUAGCGGCAGGCCUAACACAUGCAAGUCGAGGGAGAAGCCCUUCGGGGCAGAAACCGGCGCACGGGUGCGUAACGCGUAUGCAACCUACCUUUCACAGGGGGAUAGCCCGAAGAAAUUUGGAUUAAUACCCCAUAAUAUUAUUGGAUGGCAUCAUUUGAUAAUUAAAAUUACGAUGGUGAAAGAUGGGCAUGCGUCCUAUUAGCUAGUUGGAGUGGUAACGGCACCCCAAGGCUACGAUAGGUAGGGGUCCUGAGAGGGAGAUCCCCCACACUGGUACUGAGACAGGGACCAGACUCCUACGGGAGGCAGCAGUGAGGAAUAUUGGUCAAUGGUCGGGAAGACUGAACCCAGCCAUGCCGCGUGCCAGGGAAAGAAAUGCCCUUUAUGGGGUGUAAAACUG